UGGGGAAUAUUGCACAAUGGAGGGAACUCUGAUGCAGCGACGCCGCGUGAACGAAGAAGGCUUUCGAGUCGUAAAGUUCUUUUAUAUGGGAAGAUAAUGACGGUACCAUAAGAAAAAGCCCCGGCUAACUACGUGCCAGCAGCCGCGGUAAUACGUAGGGGGCUAGCGUUGUCCGGAAUCACUGGGCGUAAAGGGUUCGCAGGCGGAAAUGCAAGUCAGGUGUAAAAGGCAGUAGCUUAACUACUGUAAGCAUUUGAAACUGCAUAUCUUGAGAAGAGUAGAGGUAAGUGGAAUUUUUAGUGUAGAGGUGAAAUGCGUAGAUAUUAAAAAGAAUACCGGUGGCGAAGGCGACUUACUGGGCUCAUUCUGACGCUGAGGAACGAAAGCGUGGGUAGCAAACAG
rnacentral:rRNA from 1 species